rnacentral:rRNA from 1 species
GAUGAACGCUGGCGGCGUGCCUAAUACAUGCAAGUCGAGCGAACAGACGAGGAGCUUGCUCCUCUGACGUUAGCGGCGGACGGGUGAGUAACACGUGGAUAACCUACCUAUAAGACUGGGAUAACUUCGGGAAACCGGAGCUAAUACCGGAUAAUAUAUUGAACCGCAUGGUUCAAUAGUGAAAGACGGUUUUGCUGUCACUUAUAGAUGGAUCCGCGCCGCAUUAGCUAGUUGGUAAGGUAACGGCUUACCAAGGCAACGAUGCGUAGCCGACCUGAGAGGGUGAUCGGCCACACUGGAACUGAGACACGGUCCAGACUCCUACGGGAGGCAGCAGUAGGGAAUCUUCCGCAAUGGGCGAAAGCCUGACGGAGCAACGCGGCGUGAGUGAUGAAGGUCUUCGGAUCGUAAAACUCUGUUAUUAGUGAAGAACAAAUGUGUAAGUAACUAUGCACGUCUUGACGGUACCUAAUCAGAAAGCCACGGCUAACUACGUG